AGAGUUUGAUCCUGGCUCAGGAUGAACGCUGGCGGCGUGCUUAACACAUGCAAGUCGAACGGUGAAGCCCAGCUUGCUGGGUGGAUCAGUGGCGAACGGGUGAGUAACACGUGAGCAACCUGCCCCUGACUCUGGGAUAAGCGCUGGAAACGGCGUCUAAUACUGGAUACGAGUAGCGACCGCAUGGUCAGUUACUGGAAAGAAUUUUGGUUGGGGAUGGGCUCGCGGCCUAUCAGCUUGUUGGUGAGGUAAUGGCUCACCAAGGCGUCGACGGGUAGCCGGCCUGAGAGGGUGACCGGCCACACUGGGACUGAGACACGGCCCAGACUCCUACGGGAGGCAGCAGUGGGGAAUAUUGCACAAUGGGCGAAAGCCUGAUGCAGCAACGCCGCGUGAGGGAUGACGGCCUUCGGGUUGUAAACCUCUUUUAGCAGGGAAGAAGCGAAAGUGACGGUACCUGCAGAAAAAGCACCGGCUAACUACGUG
rnacentral:rRNA from 1 species